CUUAUCUUGAUUUAAAAUUGUACUAAAAAUCUUUUAUAUAUUUUCAGCUUCGAUCUACUAUCACUGAGGGAAUUUUAAUUAUGGGUUUUGUCAGAAAAAAAAAGAAAAGAAGGGUGUUGGUGGCUAAUUCCCAAGGUGUCCGUAACAAAAUUUGCGGCUUUUUGGGAUACAUCCCUAAAAAGACGUAAAAAUAAAAGGUCGCCUGGGAAUUGGUACCAUUUCUUAUGUACAGGUAUAGGUACAGUGAUGUCGGAACUGAGCGAAUGAAAAGGUAUUUCAGGUUGAUUAGAAGUUUUAAGGACCAAUGUGGGGAAAAACCCACGUUCAAAGCCGGGCAUAAGAAUAUACCACAUACCGACGACGCUCAUAUCUACAGCCUAGUACUUUCUAGUGAAAAAAAUAAAGAUAAUUCUAAUUCACGACCGGCGAAUUAUCUGUCUUAUGUGGAAUAUAUUUUACCCCCAUCCCAGAUUUGAAUUUUAGCGUGAGUGGAUUUAAAUUAUUCAAAUGCAAAGUAUGAAUUUUGUUCAUUGUGAACGAGUUCUAAGAAUAAUUAAAAUAAGCGAUGGAUAUCGUCUGUUCCUGAGAGGUUACUACAGUGAAGCUAAGUACCUUAUAUGUAUAUAACAAUCUCUUUCAUCAUUAAUAGAUUUCCUUUUUUUUCAGAAUGCAUGUUAUCAACGGAGUAUGGGGUUUUAUGCAGGCAAGUGGCAUUAGUGACGAACGAGUUGGACCAAGUUCAUUUUAUGUAAAGGAGGUAAUAAGUAUGAGGCACUUAACAUUGCCGGUGAGUAGUUCGAUUAAUAAUUAUGGUAUUUUAAGUAUGAAAAGAUUUUGUAUUAGACUAUGUAUAUAAAUAAGCAUGCAAAAAAACAGUUCAAUAAAUAUUAAUUAAUAAAUAAAUAAUUUUGAUAAAUAUAAAACUUAAAUCUAGUAUCACAGUAAAAUAGUAAAAAAAAACAUUAGUAAGUAUCACAGAUUCAAAAAUUAAAUAACCUUAAAUUUAAAAUAAGUUAAAAGUAAAUAUCACAGAUUCAAUAAAAAUUAGAAUUAUUCUAACUAAAAUUAAAAAUAAUUAAGCUAAAAGUAAAUUAUCAAAAGUUAGUUAAGUUAUCAGUCUUAAAAAAAAAAUAAUUAAAAUUUUGUUAAAAUAUCACAGAUUAUUAAAAGUUAACUAAAUUAUCAGUAUAAAAAAAGUAUAA